UACCUGGAGCAGACCACUGGGGAUAGAAGACAUGCUCCGCACUGCUCUGGACAUUUGGAGUGGACACUAGCUCAAAACCACAGAGCCCUGAGUUUGACCCUAGCACUCUGUGGCUACUGAUGACUCAUCCUGAUAAUUAUCAGAUUGAAUCUUCUCUACUGGUUUGGUAAUAACAAUGAGUGGAAAAAGAACUUCAAUCAGAUGUUCAUGCCUAAUAAUUGGUCUCCUGAUUGCCUUUGUAGACUCAUGGUUCUCUUCUUUUUCCUGGUCAUGGAAAUCAUCACAUCAGUAUAUAAAGAGUUGCCUCAUCCUUUUUGACAGCUGCAUAAUGUUCCAUUAUAGAGCUGUAGCCCCAAUUCACAGAUUUCCUAUUGAUCUUAUGGGACAAAUGCUGCUAGGAACUAGAGCUUACAGCUCCUGUGGAGGGGAUGGCUGAUGCCUCCUGGGCUCCCUCCCCUCCCGGCACCCACCUGCCAGUUCCCUUCGACAAUAGCCUGGGAAAGCAGUAUGUAUCCAGGAAAUCCCAGCUCUACCGAGAAGAGAAGUGAGAACAUUUCCGAGAGCACAAGCAGGGGGAGCAGCAGGCAGAGGG